GCUUGUCAUAUACGAAAUCUUAUAACUCCAUGAAAUAUUUUUGUAAGUUAAUUAUAAGGACAAUAUGGACAACCACAUAUGAACAUUUACAUAAUACAUGAUAGUGUAUGAAAUAUGUUAUCUACUUUAGCUUAAUCCAAGCUCGAUUUGUGAUUUUGCAUUCUUCAUUUGAUAUUUUAUAGGUAAUUUGCAUUUUGAAGGUAGAAUGUGAGGAUUAUGUCAUUUUAGAGCUACUUCAGGCAAUCUGGAGACAUACGACGUCACCCAAGACAAUAUGGAGCAAGAAACUGAAAAAUGGCCGGUUAGAUCCUUGAUGCUCCACAACGUUGAAGAUGGCGUCAAAAAGGCAGAAUACCCCUUUUUGCGUAAAUGGCCAAGCAUUAUGGGGCUCUAAGUUGAGACGAAAAGCUCUCGCAAGCGAGAAGUUUGGCGCCCUUGUGCCGCUACAUUAAUUUAUAUUUGUUGUUAAACUGCCAGCAUGAACCCCAUUCCAAAUUUUGCUAUUUUCUCUACUUCUCUCCUAGUUUUCUAUAUCUCUUCAUAUAGUACUUGUGGAUUCCAAACAACUCCUUAUCAUCCAACACGUGGAUGAAAGACUAAGAUACCAUUUUCUAGCUUGGGUUUCAUUGAUUUUUCCUUUAUCCCUUUGAAUUCAUGAGAACUUAAACUUGUUUUAUGUAAUCUUUGGUUCAAUUCUGAAUUUGAAUGAUGAUUUGUUACAUGUUUAGAUGCAUGAAAAAUAUAUAGCUUUAAGUUUGCAUCGAAUCUUUGACUCGUGACAAUUAGCUAGAUAAGAUUUGUUAAGCAAUAGGUUAGGUUAGCUUGUGCUUCUACUUUGAUGUGCAACGUAACCAACCUAGGAUUGAACCUAUUGAAUGUCAAUUAGACGCAUGGAAAUUAGGCAUUUCACAUAAGGAUCUCUAUAACUUAAUAUUAUUGGAAAAUUCAAUGUUGCAUUGCUUAGUGGUACUAGAUUAGAACAAUUAGAACCCUGGAACAAUGUAGUUAUCUAAGGUAAUUAAAUUGGUUAAGUGAAGAUUGUAUGUAGAUAAGUGAUGAUAGUUUGAUGAAUGAAUUCUUUGGAUAAGGGAGAAAUUGUUAUAACCCAAGCCACGUUUUUUUGACAUAGUUGUUUUACUUUCUUUUACAAUUUACUUUAUAAGAAUCAAUUUUAGCUCAAACCUCCCUUAGUUACCUUGGGUUGGAAAUUAGUUUUUAAGAGAACUAGUGUGCUCCUUGUAAUCGACUUGGACUUGCCACUAAGACUAAUGCUUACUGAGAAAAUUUGGUUAAUUAUUUAGCAUGGGUUUGGGUAAUGAAACUUGUCCUUCAAAUUGGUGCAAUUGCUAGGAAGCACUUAGAUUUUUCUUGCAAAAUAGUUUACUACCUAUUUAUUGUUCUUUAUUUAUUAUUUUUCUUUGUAUGACUCAAUCCUCCCCGGAUCAAAAAUUUUUGUUGUAUUUUGCAGAUCUUGAUCGAGAGGAAAGACAAAGAAGAAGAGAAGUUAGAGAGCAUAAAGCUAUUAAGGAGGAAAUUUGUGCUAAAGGCACGUUUGAAGAAAAACUUCCAGAGCAGAAAGCUGAGAGCAUGAUAGAUACUUCACUAGAGUGAACCUUAAGGGAUCUAACUGUCCCUGAAUUUUCUUAGCAACCCCUCUCUAUUACCUAUCCCGAGACCAUAGGUAAUUUGGAUCUAAAACUAGUUUAAUUCACUUUUUACCUCUUUUUCAUAAAUUUGCAGGUGAGAGCUGCCACAAUUUCAUGAAAGAGUUCUCAUGUAUUAUGCUGUAGUAUGAGGCCACAUGGAGUGACUUAAAAGCAGCUAAACCUCAUAGACUUCUUCUUGGCCUGGAAGGAUUAUGCUAAGGAUUGACUAUUUAUCCUUCCUACAAAAUUUGUGAUUACCUUGGCCCACACAAAGAAGCUUCUAUUGAAAAAGUUUUACCUUGCUUUUCCUGCCGCCAAGGUCAGGAUGAAAGAUUUAUACCAUUACGUAGGCGAAGGGCAAGACACUACACGAGUACUGGGAGUCGUUCAAGCACCUAUGACAGUUUUCCACAUCAUUAGAUUUUUUAGGCGCUCUUGGUUCUAAACUUCUAUGAGGGGAUUGUCUCCCGUGAUAAAAGUAUGAUAAAUACAAUUGCAGGAGGAGUAUUGGUGAACAAAACUCCUUGAGAGGCUCGAACAUUGAUUUCACCACGGGCUCCUAAUAUUUAGCAGUUUGGGAUUAGAGACUAAACUCCCAUAUCCACCACAUCUUCAGAAGAGCAUGUUAGUUGGUAAUGUGGAAUCUAUGGAAGAGAAGAUGAAGAAGAGCCCUCUUGCUUCACAAGGCAAGAAAGCCCCACUAAAAAAGGUAAGAAAAUAUGGGUUGAAGUACUUUUCAUGGAGGUUGUAGCUUAGGCUAAGGAGAUUAUCAAGCAAGAUGCUCUCAUUAUAAUUAAUUUUCUCAUAAACCAUGACAGUCCAUGUAUGUUUGCUAUUUCUUGUUCUAUAAGAUCUAGGAAAUUUAAGCAUGUUAUGUUAAAUCUAAGAUCUUAAAUACAUAUUAUGCUUUCUCUUGUUUACAAUGAGUUUCAAUCACAUAUAUGGCACCCUACUGAUAUCUUAAUGCAGUUAGUUGUUUUCUCCUUAGUUAGACCUUUAGGUUUGGCUAAUGAUGUUGCUGUCAUUGUAGAUAGUCUAUUAUAUUUCGUGUGGACUUCCAUGCUGUGAAUGUUAAUACUUUCUCCCCUCUCGAUGAGUUAUAUGUUCUAUUAGAGAGACCCGUCUUAAAGAUAGUGAAAGUUGUGAUUGAUGUGAACAAGAGGUCUCAUAGAAUUAAACAGAAAGGAAAGUCACAAACCUUUGUAAUGUUCAAUGAUAAUCCUUCUACUACUCCUACUUAUUUUAGUUCUAUUAUUUUAUACAAUUGUAGUCCACCUCCUAAGUUGGGGGUGGAGCAUGUUGACUCUCACAAUAUUAUGGUUGUUGAGGCA